GUCCACGCCGUAAACGUUGGGCACUAGGUGUGGGGCUCUAUCGACGGGCUCCGUGCCGUAGCUAACGCAUUAAGUGCCCCGCCUUGGGAGUACGGCCGCAAGGCUAAAACUCAAAGGAAUUGACGGGGGCCCGCACAAGCGGCGGAGCAUGUGGCUCAAUUCGAUGCAACGCGAAGAACCUUACCUGGGCUGAACUACGCGGGAAAAGCCGUAGAAAUACGGUGUCCUUCGGGGUCCGCGAUAGGUGGUGCAUGGCUGUCGU
rnacentral:rRNA from 1 species